rnacentral:rRNA from 1 species
UACGGAGGGGGCUAGCGUUGUUCGGAAUUACUGGGCGUAAAGGGCGCGUAGGCGGUGCGAUCAGUCAGGCGUGAAAGGCCCGGGCUCAACCCGGGGACUGCGCUUGAUACUGUUGCGCUGUGAGUCCGGGAGAGGAUGGCGGAAUUCCCAGUGUAGAGGUGAAAUUCGUAGAUAUUGGGAAGAACACCGAUGGCGAAGGCAGCCCCCUGGGUCAAGACUGACGCUCAUGCACGAAAGCGUGGGGAGCAAACAGG